GAGAGAAAAAGUGUGACAAUACUUGUUCAUACAACUUCUUCGCUAAAAGAGAAAAGAGGCGUAGCUUUAGGUUUUAAAUACCCUAGGGCUCGACACUCUAAACAACAAGAAGUUCAAAACCAAAACAACAAGACGUUUUAAAGAAAUAAUAAAAACAGCAUUAUGUCUCGACGACCUGUAGUAGUACAGAAGUCGGCUGAACUAGUACAAAAGCUUGACGACUUGUAGUAGUACAGAAGUCAGCUGAACUAGUACAGAAGUACAUUAUUCCCCCUUUGGUAAUGACUUCUAGAUAACUCGACGUAGUGAUCCAUUUGCCUCAUUAAAAACCAUGCUGAGAAAACCCAUUGGGACAAAACUCAGCUAUGAGAAAAAGAGUACAAACUUCUCACCUAAGUUACCUAGUCCUCAUUACCGGGUGAAGUCUACAGGUUAGAUAUGUUGAAGACUUGGAUCCUUGGUUGGUUGAAUGACCCGUCAACUAUGAGUGAGUGUGCUUCCUUGGCCAUCUCCUUAGCUCUUGAACGAGUGAUCCUUCCCACCAUCUCCGGUUUCUCUCUAGCCUCUGACUCCGUGCUGGCCACGAUCAUAUCAUUCCCACACUGCCACGAGCAGAAACUAGGAAAACAGACGACUAGAGAAAAGAUAAAACAUCACAACUUAUCGUGGAAUCUCAUUGAAGGCUCGAGAGGAUGAUCUAGGUCUCCAUGCUCACACAAUUGAUUAAACACACAAAUCAAUCAGCAUGCAAUCCACAUCAUCAUUUUCCAUCAACGAAAUUCACACAUCACAUUAAAAAUAACCAAUUUACUCCCGCCCUAGAACCGUAAGGGCUCUGAUACCAAAUUGAAAAGACCCGACCCGUUUUUUUUUAAUUCAUUAAUUAAUAGUCCCAUACCUACUAAUUAACCUAACCGAAUUAACCCAACAAUAAAUCAUCAUGCACAGCGGAAACAUAUUAAACCAACAUCAAUUAAUCAUAAUAUUAAUUAAUCAAUCAUUCAAUAACCACAAUUUACACCAGCAACCUAGCAUGCAUUUAAACCAGGUUCCAACAACAAUUAACAUAUUCAUAAACAUAACAACCGAGACCCUAGAUCAUCCUCCUCUCCUCGCCAUGAUUCCACGGAUCACAAAUUACCAUCUACGAGCUAUACACACAAGCUAUGAGAUAACAUCCACAUAUAUAACAUAAACAAACCAUUCAGCAAGCUAAACAUCCAAUAACACUUCCAAUUCAGCUACAAAUCAUCACAAACAAGUCACUCAAUCCUAAUCGCUUAGAUAAGCUCAUGGUCACGCACUCACCUUAACAAGGUGAUUUGAAUAACAAAAACAACCAGGAAAGACUAUCCUCGCGACUGCAACAGCCAAACAACGCCCUACAACAAACCACACAAACAAAAAUCUCUAAGAACCAAAUGGACAGAAACAGCAGAAAAACUACAGCCGCAGAAACGAAGCCCUAAAACAUAAAACAACCGUUAACUUCUUAUUUUGGUGCCGAUCAGAGAAACGAUGAAAUCACGAUCGCACUUAAAAACUCCGCUGAUCCCAAUUCGCAACAGAGAAGAAGCGUCUCACCAAAUUGCAUAUAACUCACUGAGUAUUAAUCCGAAUUCACUU
rnacentral:lncRNA from 1 species